CAUGCAAGUCGAACGAUGAAGCCUUUCGGGGUGGAUUAGUGGCGAACGGGUGAGUAACACGUGGGCAAUCUGCCCUUCACUCUGGGACAAGCCCUGGAAACGGGGUCUAAUACCGGAUAACACUCUGUCCCGCAUGGGACGGGGUUAAAAGCUCCGGCGGUGAAGGAUGAGCCCGCGGCCUAUCAGCUUGUUGGUGGGGUGAUGGCCUACCAAGGCGACGACGGGUAGCCGGCCUGAGAGGGCGACCGGCCACACUGGGACUGAGACACGGCCCAGACUCCUACGGGAGGCAGCAGUGGGGAAUAUUGCACAAUGGGCGAAAGCCUGAUGCAGCGACGCCGCGUGAGGGAUGACGGCCUUCGGGUUGUAAACCUCUUUCAGCAGGGAAGAAGCGAAAGUGACGGUACCUGCAGAAGAAGCGCCGGCUAACUACGUGCCAGCAGCCGCGGUAAUACGUAGGGCGCAAGCGUUGUCCGGAAUUAUUGGGCGUAAAGAGCUCGUAGGCGGCUUGUCACGUCGGAUGUGAAAGCCCGGGGCUUAACCCCGGGUCUGCAUUCGAUACGGGCUAGCUAGAGUGUGGUAGGGGAGAUCGGAAUUCCUGGUGUAGCG
rnacentral:rRNA from 1 species